rnacentral:rRNA from 1 species
GACGAACGCUGGCGGCGUGCUUACCACUUGCAAGUCGAGCGAUGAAGCACCUUCGGGUGUGGAUUAGCGGCGAACGGGUGAGGAACACGUGAAGAAUCUGCCUUCAAUUCUGGGAUAACUCCGGGAAACCGGGGCUAAUACCGAAUAUGAGCCUUGAUCGCAUGAUCGGGGCUGGAAAGUUUUUCGGUUGAAGAUAACUUCCCGGCCUAUCACCUUGUUGGGGAGGUAAUGGCUCACCAAGGCGACAACGGGUAGCCGGCCUGAGAGGGGGACCGGCCCCACUGGGACUGAGACACGGCCCAAACUCCUACGGGAGGCACCAGUGGGGAAUAUUGGGCAAUGGAGGAAACUCUGACCCACCGACCCCCCGUGAGGGAUAAAGGCCUUCGGGUUGUAAACCUCUUUCAGUAGGGAAAAAACGAAAGUGACGGUACCUCCAGAAAAAGCACCGGCUAACUAUGUGCCACCAC